CAGAUGAGAGCGUCUAAUUCAGAACAUAAGCUGAGCCUCUAUCUAUAAAAAAUUCUGCAAGCAACAGCAUGACCUGGCUAGAACAAUGAUGUAUGACUUGUGGCUGAGAACAUUCCACAGCUCAACAGAUGGCUCUCCUCUGGGGUUUGAGACAGGCAGGCAUCAGGCAAUAUCCUGACAAGAGUGAAAUACUGACCCGAGGAGAAGAAAAUCAGAGCCCAGGGAGAUGGCAUAUCUUUUGUGAAGCACACCAUUUUCUAGGUGUGCCCUG
rnacentral:lncRNA from 1 species